AACGAACGCUGGCGGCAUGCCUAACACAUGCAAGUCGAACGAGACCUUCGGGUCUAGUGGCGCACGGGUGCGUAACGCGUGGGAACCUGCCCUUAGGUUCGGAAUAACUCCCCGAAGGGGGUGCUAAUACCGGAUAAUGUCUUCGGACCAAGGAUUUAUCGCCUUUGGAUGGGCCCGCGUUGGAUUAGCUAGUUGGUAGGGUAAAAGCCUACCAAGGCGACGAUCCAUAGCUGGUCUGAGAGGAUGAUCAGCCACACUGGGACUGAGACACGGCCCAGACUCCUACGGGAGGCAGCAGUGGGGAAUAUUGGACAAUGGGCGAAAGCCUGAUCCAGCAAUGCCGCGUGAGUGAUGAAGGCCUUAGGGUUGUAAAGCUCUUUUACCCGGGAUGAUAAUGACAGUACCGGGAGAAUAAGCUCCGGCUAACUCCGUG
rnacentral:rRNA from 1 species